CCUGGGCUCCGAGUUGGGGACCAGGAUUUCCCCUUUGUUUUGGUUACGGAUGUGGCUGCGUGAGCGCCGCCCUGGGAUUCUCUUCCCUCUAACUGCAAACAUCAGUUUCUUAGAGCUCCGUGUUUUAAGUCCUGUUUCUCAGCUGUGCAAAAGUGAGCUCUGUCCCGAGUGGAUGGCCAGAAGGGAUGAGAGGGAGAACUCUGGAGGCAAGACAAGAAUGGACGGCUUUGUAUCUCCCCCCCCCCCAGGAGAGAGCGCUGACCCAUUAUCAGUGAAACACUCCUUAGAAAAACCACCCGAGCGUUCCUGUCUCUUUGGGAUGAAGUUACUGAGAUUUGUGAGAAAACCAGCCCAGCCAGUUAUGCCCGCCUGCUUUCUCCUUGAUCAGAUCCUCAGCGGAUCUGCUUUGUCAACAUGAUGGCUGGCAGCCCUUCACUUCAUGUGACCGUGAAGUUUCUUCAGCCUGGUAAAGUCUGAGAACAUCUGGGAAAAGGAAAAUUUUCGAAAUAUUUUUUAUCUGGUUAUUUUAUAUUUUUACCAGUAUAUGUUAAUUAUAAUGACAAUUUCAUUGACAUUUUUAUAGAUAUAUAAAAAUGUAUUUUAGCCGGGCAGUGGUGGUGCACUCCUUUAAUCCCAGCACUCGGGAGACAGAGCUGGGUGGGUCUUUGGGAGUUCGAGGCCAGCCUGGUCUACAGAGCGAGAUCCAGGAAAGGCACAAAGCUACACAGAGAAACCCUGUCUCGAAACACCCCCCCCCCCAAAAAAAAAUGUAUUUUGGCUGGGCAGUAGUGGUAUGUCCCUUUAAACCCAGCACUGAGGUAGAGGCAGGUGGAUCUCUGUGAGUUCCAGGCCACCCUGGUCUACAGAGUGAGAAAGAAAAGUGUACAAAGAAACCCUGCUUCGAAAAACAAAAAAAAACAACAACAAAAUGUAUUUUGAUCUUAUUCUCCCUCCACCAAGCUCUCUUCCCACCCUCCGGUGGUAGCUGGUCCCUUUCCUCCCAGCUAAUCACUCUUUGAUGUGUGUGUGUGUGUGUGUGUGUGUGUGUGUGUGUGUGUGUGUGUCCCAAUACUCAAUGAGUUUCAUCAGGGUGACUCACAGGAGCAUGAAUGACAGGUUAUUUAUCUGAGCGUGGCCACCUUACCCAUGACGACGUCACUGAAGAAACUCUCCCUCCCCCAGCAGCUAUCAGAUUACCUGGAGCUGUUUAGGGCAAGUCGAGGCCUCCUGAGCGCCUCCCUGCCCUACGGCAGGACGCUGCUGGGCUUUGUUCUGUGCUGGUCUGGAGCCAGUAAUCAAUCACAGAUGCUUUGAGCUGAAGAAUGCUAUGUCCAGGUUGCACCGCGGAGGCAGAAUCCUACAGCCCUCCACCUCAUGCUUCAGAUCUCGCUUUCUGUUCACUCCAUCACGGUCCCUGAGCCUUGGAGAGGAUCAUUCUAGGACUUCCUAUUUGUGGCGUAUCAUUCAAUAGUCACUUACUCUGAGCACUUUGACCAGUCAUGAGUCUGCAGUCAUUGCUACCUACUGCAAAAAGAGGUGUCUUCUUUUUGUUUUUCCAGGCGUGGUUUCUCUGUAUAACAGUCCUGGCUCUCCUGGAACUCGAUUUGUAGACCAGGCUGGCCUCGAAUUUACAGCGAUCUGUCUGCCUCUGCCUCCUGAGUGCUGGGGUCAAAGGUGUGCAUUACCACACCUGGCCAAGACAAAACAAAACAAAAAGACUUCUUUUGCUGGGCGGUGGUGGCGCACACCUUUAAUCCCAGCACUCGGGAGGCAGAGGCAGGCGGAUCUCUGUGAGUUCGAGGCCAGCCUGGUCUACAGAGCGAGAUCCAGGAAAAACGCAAAGCUACACAGAGAAACCCUGUCGCGAAAAAUCAAAUAAAUAAAUAAAUAAAUAGCCACCAGUGGGACUAACCCAUGCGGAUAAACAUCAUUAUUUAGAAGGCACAUCAUACCCAUUUGCAAAACGUGAAGCUUCUCCACUACAGGGUGAUACCCCACAGCCAUGGGCUUUUGACCAGGUUUACAGUACCAGAUGUGAAUUCCCUGGGUGGAGCUGGCCUCAAUUCCAAUUAGAAAGCAGUUGGUUACUCAAUAAACAGACUUGCCACUUUCUCACCAGUGAGCUUAUUUUGCCUGGCACAUCCUAGUAUAGAACACACAUUGCUGAUUGUACACCA